rnacentral:lncRNA from 1 species
GAAUGGCUUGGUCUCAGCUUUCCACUUAGAGUUCUAAUGGUACACUGGAAAAAAAAUUAUAAUGGGUGGGGGGAUAAGAAGUUUCAUAUAAUUGUCAACUUUUGUGUUAACAUAUAAAACUUUAAAUAUUUAAGGUAAAUGCUUUGAGAGCAAAGUAUGUUAAGUUCUUAACAUAUUUUCAGAGCAUACUUUUUUUACUUUGAUUUUCAUAUUCCAUUAAAGUUUUGCUAAAUUGUAGUCCUGAGAACAUACCCUGGAGGCUGCCUGGGAAUCUAGUAGGCCUCUGGGAUGCAGUGUCUCGUGAAUCUGCUUUAGGCCUGGGUUACAAUUUAUGGUGAAUGGUAUUAAGAGUAAGUUCCC